AACAAAACAAAACCAAAAAAUCAACCAAAAUAAGCAAAAAGCAAAUACAUUGGGGAAUGAUUUCCUUUCUUCUCUCCUGAGCAUAAAACUUUGUCAUCCUUCUCGAUCCCAGACACUCAGCCCCGCACUGAAUCUCGUGUUCCUCCAGCUGAAUCUUCUGGGCCCCAGCAUGAGCAUCAUGGGAAGGAAAUUGUGGCUCCGUUCAAGCUUGUGACUCCUGACCAGUCAUGACAUUGUGGAGAAACAGGUGAAACAGAGGAGAUGGAAAUUAUUAAGUAUUUUUCUCUCGGCGUCGCCGCCUUUCUUGUCUGUCCAGCGUUCCUGCUGCACUGACCUGCCUCUGGGCCCUUCCUCGUGGAGUUCCCUGGGCAUCCCUUUCUCUUCCCCCUCCAUCUGUGAAGCCCUGGCCAUGCUCCAGGGUCUCCGUGAACGACGAUUCUUCUGGGUAAUGUGCUCUGGCUCUUCCUUGCUCUCUCUGAUCACGGUGGCAAGUAUUGCUUCAUCAGUGUUUUGAGCUCAGUUCUCUAGAAGCUGAGUCUGAGACAUUCUCAUGCGAGCCAUUUAUGAAGGGAUUGCUCAAAAGAGGGACCUGGGUGGGAGUGAGGGCUGCGGGAAGGAGUGAGGGCUGCAGGGUGUGUCAGGGAGGAAGCGAGGCAGAGACAGCAGGUUUCAUGAACUCGUAGAAGCAGAGGCUACCGUGGUGGUUGCCAGGAUCUGGAGGCGGGAAAGGGGAGAUGGUGGACAAAGAGCACCAACUUCCGUCUGUAGGAUGAGUGAGUUCUGGGCAUCGAGUGUACGGCGUGGUGUUUGUAGUUACUAAUAUUGUAUUAUAUACGUGGAAGUUGCUGAGAGUAGAUCUUCAAUAUACAAUAAAAAAAAGAGAUGGUAAUUAGGUGACAUGAUAGAGGCGUUAGCUAACUCUGCGGUGGUAAUGGUUUUGCGGUAUAUGAGUGCAUCAAAUCAACACAGGGUAUACCUUAAACUGGUGCAAUAUUCCGUGUCAGCUACAUCUCAGUAAAGCUUGGCGAGAAAAAGAAAAGGAAAACUAGGCUUCAGGGGACACCUAGCCUGGGCCCAAUCCCUCCCACGGGGUGCUCAGGAGUGUGACUUGCACACAAUAGUUGUCUUGCCCAAAGAAAAGGCGGCUGAGAUCAGAUGAGCCCUUGUUUAGAAGCUGCUCCCUGCUGUGGGCAAAGUGUCACCUCUAGGCAGCUCCAAGGAGAUGCGCUCUCAUAGGUUAGUCAAGGGCGGUCCUUCAGAGAAAGGUGCAGAUCUGCGCCACUAGCCGCCAACAUCAACAGCUGGGCAUGAAUGCACCUGCUGGGUAACACGGUCCGGGCAGGACCCCAACAUCAUCUGCUGUAUACAAUUGGUGAGGUCAUUGUUACAUGUCUCCAACAUCUAAUGGGCCUCUCACAUCCCAGGUGCUCUUCUAGGCAACUUGGAAUCAAAGAUGACUGUGCCACACUUGUGUGGACGUUUCUCGAAGGCAGACGUUCAAAAGCACACAGGGCGAGACAGGCCCAGGCCCUACCUACCGCUGGAGACCGGGUGGGAGCUUGUUCACAUGAACAAGGCAGAAUUGGUGCUAUUGCCGCUGGGGCCCAGAGGGGGUCAGCCACAUGCAAAGUGAAGUCAGCAAAGCUUUUGAAUCAUCGUUCUCCAGCUCCUCUGCUGGGUCUGAGCAAGAACAGGAUUGUUCCUAGGCCGACUGAGGAUGAACCGAAAGGUUUGAGUCAAUGGUUCUGGCUCAGGGAGAGGUGCCGUUCAGGGCACAGAGGGCACAGCAAUUACAAGAGGCAGGAUGCUAAUCAAAGAAGCUUAAGGAAAAAAGGAGACUUUCCUGGCUCAUGGCGAAAGUCAGGGUGGAUCUAACUUCAGGAGUGGGCAGUCCCAUCCUCUUGCCCCAUCACACAGCUCUGCCGCCCUCCGUGUUGCCUUUCUUUGUGUGUGGCAUCUAUCCCUGUGCUGGCUUCGAGAAACUGCAGGUCGCAUGCUACCAGGUCCCCAGUCCGAGAAAGGGCAAGUCACAGGAUUGACUUCGCUGGACAGACCUUGUUGAAGGAGGACAUGGAGCAGAUGUGGCCCCAGGUUGACCCCAGAACUGGACCCGGGCAGUCGGAGGCCCCUGCUUCCCCCCAUCCUUGAAAUGCACGCUCUGCCCACCAUGCUCACAGUGGGCGCUGUGCUCACGGGCGCAGCCUUGAGACGGGGUGUGUGCUUGAGACCACGUGGAUGAUGCGUGUGACUGGAAUUCCGUUCCGGCCUCUCUGCAAACUUUUCCAGCUAGCGGGUAUGGAGAGCCACGCAUUUAGUAGCCGCCCAAUUCCCUUGCUUAUCAAUCCGGCCACCUGCCAGUCUGGAGGGCUCCGCCUCUUUCUUCCGACUCUUUGCCCUCCAUGCACUAGGGGCUGGUUUGUGAACCAAGAGGUUUUGAGUCAUGUGAUCAAAACUGAAAGAAGCACAUAUUGUGGGGGAUGGAGUUUACCGUUGGCUCUGGCUAGUGGGCUGCACGCCACCCACCCAUGGAACCUGGGUAGAUCACCCCAGGUGAAUCACGUGGUCUGAGAAGGGGCGAGUGAAAAGAAGGCCUCUUUCAAAUGAAAGGAAGUGUUCUUUUAUUAGAAGAGAUAUACAAGGAAGACAAACACCAUCAAAUAUAUUUCACCGCGGCUCUGUUCGCCUGGAUUUUAAAUUGCUGUCUUGCAGCAUGUGCAUGGCAAACUACCGGGCCGCGAGUUCAUUGCCACUGGCAAGCUCAGGACGCAAUUGAUUUGACAAGUCAUAUUUAAUGCUGGGCUUGUAGAAAAGGUUCUCAUUUCCAUCUGACAGUUUUUAUGAUGGAAGUCAAGCUCACUAGUCUAUAAUUGACAGGAUUCUUAUUCAUUUUGGAGAAGUUACGGCAUCUGGUGGCCUGCAGUUUGCAAGCUAUACAGACCUUUCUGUUAACCUUGCAAAGCUGGAGAGCUCAGCUUCAGCAUUUUGUUACCUGUCUUGUCAAUUUCUAGACAGGUGACUUCACCUCCGUCUCUCCAGGCAGUUUCUCUCCUUAAAUUCAGGAGUUAUUUCCUUGGACAAGGCCAGUACCAGAGGCUUGAAUAGUGUUGUUUGCUGACUUGUGUAACUUCUGGGAAAAUGAUUUUCUUGCUGUGAUAUGAAAUUGACUUUUCAUCUUUGGUGACCAGCCACCAGCCACUCCAGCUCACCUUUCCUGUGUUUGGAGGGACACAGAUCUACGAAGGGGGAGCACAUGAGCUUUGAGAAUGGGAUCACUGACCUGCAGGGGCCUGGGGAGUAAUGUCUCAUCUCUGAGAGGGCUUCUAAAGAGUUAUUCUAAAGCUUAUUCUUAAUAUGUUAUCACUUAAAAAAAUGAUAGCUGCCUUUCAAGGACUCUAGGUUUUUGACUCACAGCACUGGAGGGAAAAAUCUCCUUUCUGCUCCUAAAUAUCUCAUUAUAUUUCUCUGUGAAAGCACCCUCCACACCCUCCUGGGAAUCUUUCUGUAUUGCAUCAAUUUUAGAUCAUGAACCUGAGCACACACACUCAUUCAGCUAUGAGUUCAGUGAGCAUCUGAAAUUCACCUCCGGUAAAGGUCACGUGGAUGGUGGGAUGGUAUAGGGCGGUCUUUUGGGUUUGGAGUAAGAUGGGGGUCAGGAUGCAGACCCUGGGAGAGUAGGAUUUGGUCCCACAGGCGAGGCAGACCAUGUUUAGGCCUCAUGGUAGCACAGAUAUGACCAAGUCAUGGUGCCAGCUCUGGUAGAGCACGUGGUCAAGUCAGGGAGACAGACGAGGAGACACCUGUAGCAGAGGGCAGCAGGCAAGGCAGUUAGUUGGGCAACGUAUUCCAGGGUUCUACUCUCCUAGUGAGCAACUAAAAACAGACAAGGGAAGUUUGGUUAUUCCAUGUCAUUGGACUUUCAGUGGCUGAUGAUGUUAGCUAGCCUGUAACAUGGGGCCAGCCCCGCAGAAUGGUGAACCGUCUCACCCAGACACCAGUGGUGAGAAAGUGUUGGCCUGAAGGGAUCAUGAGGACAUGCUUCGUGUUCACCGCUGCGUUCCUUGUGCCUAGCACCCACUGACACAUGGUAGGUCCCCUAUAAAUAUCUUUUUUAGAAGAGGGAAACUACCUGAAGUACAAGAGGCCGCAGAGAGUGGAGGAGGAGUUCAGGCGGGCAGCUAUUUGUAGGGAAGAGGCGUACAAGACUUUGAGACUCACGCCAGGCACAUAAGACCCCAGGUCUAGACAGCCAGACUCUUCCAGAUGCCCCUUACAUGUGAAUACGAGGUCUCUACAAGUUUCUCUGUCCAGACCUGGACUGGCUCAGGGCUUGGGUGGGGCUCUGUCUGUGAGUUGAAGCCCCAGGCUCUGAACCCAAGCAGAACUGCAGAUGAGAGGAGCUCACAUGACAUCUGUCAAACUUCCUGGACCCCCACCUCGCCUACCCCCACCAGCAACUGGUUGGGGCAUUUCCCGAGAGACCCAGUAUGACAUUCUUGAGAGCAGAUGCACUGGACUUUCUGAUUCCAUUCACUUGUUUCCAUCAACAAAUAUUUGUUCAUUCUUUCUAUGAUUAAGACAUUGUUCUAAGCUUUUAGGUUACAGCAGAGAACAAGACAGACAAAGCCCCUGCCUUCUUGGAGCUCAUGUUCCUCUCGUGGAAGCAAACAAUAAACAUGCACCUGAGUGAACAUGUGGUGGCUGCAGAGGUGACAGGGACACACAAGGCAAGAGAAAGGGGGAUGGGGCUGUUAGGAGAGACUCUCUAAGAGGGGGAACGUGAGGAAGGAGGCCAGAGAGACAUCUGGGGAAGGAGCGUGCAUCCUGUUAUGAGCAGCAAGCACGUGCCUGGUGAACUUGAGGAGGAACCUGGCAUGGCUGUUCUGGAGGAGGCAGUGAUAGAGAGGUGGCGGGGGACAGAGUAUGUAGGAUCUUGCAGGUCAUUGCUGGGACUGUGGCUUUUGCUCUGAAGCAGACAAGAUGCAUCAGAGGAGUUUGAGCAGAGGCCUGAACGGAGCAGGCUUGUUUUGAAAGGAUUCUCUUGUCAGUUUUCUCUUGUUCAUGGCUUAGAACAGUAGUGCUUCAGUAUUUCUCCCAGUCCUGUAGGUGGACUGGGCUGUUCCUUUGCUGACUCCCCCUGAGCUCACUUAGCAGGAGGGUUGGGCUCAGCUGGGGUGUCUGGCCCUCUCUUUCCAUGUGGUUCCUCAUCCUUAGGGAGGCCACACCUGAUUGGGCUUCCUUCCAAGAUGGCCGCAUUCCCGGAGACACACACCUGCCCAGCUUCCGUUUGCUUCACAUGUGCCGAGUCACGUUGCCCAGCCCAGAGUCAGGACGGGACUGUGCAGUGUGAAUAUCAGAAGACAUGGAACCUGAGGGGCAGUUAAUGUAGCCAGCUACCACUCUGACUGUUCUUUUGAGAAGAGACUUGGGGGAGGAGAAGGGGAUGGCCGGGGAAGGAGGCCAGGUAUCAAUCCCAGUAAACCGUGGCGGCUCCUUGGUGCAGCGUGAUAGCACUGGAGUGGUGAGAGGUGAUCUGAUUAUGAUAAUAUUUUGUAAGUGGAGCCUAAGUAGUUUGUUGAUGGAUGAGGAUGGUGCAUGAGACGUGGAAGAGAGGGGAAUUAGGAUGCCCCCAAGACAUCUGUCUUCAGCAGCUCUAAGGACAGAGUGGCUAUAAAUGGAGAAGGGGAUACUGUGGGAAGAGGGGGAGACUUCUGCCAGUUGUAUAGUGGGAGUUCUGUUUUGGACGUGUUAAAUUUAAGAUAUCUAUAUCUGUAUUUGCAUCUGUACAUUUAUAUAAGCUAUUAGUUGGCUAUAAUAGUAAAGAUACUAGGUGGAUGAUUCUGGGAGGAACAAACAAAUUUGGGAAUUAGCCCCUUGAUGGUGUUUAAAGUUCUGGGCCUGGAUGAACUCGCCAAGGGCUGGGGUAGAUAGAGCAGAGAAGAGGUGUACCGUCUGAGUCCCAGGUCCUCCAGCAUUUCAAGGUCAGGGAGCUGAGAACAAACCAGUAAAGGAAGACAGAGCAAGAUGGCUAGUGACCAGGAUAAGAACCGAGAAUGAAGAAAGCACUCUAAGGAUGGGAGAGCAAUCAGGUGUAUCAGAAGCUGCUCAUAAGAUCAAGUAAGGUGACUGAGCGCUCACUGACCCUGAGACUGGGCUGCGAGGAGGUCAGGAGGUCACCUGGCCAGAGCAGCUUCCAUUGAGCAGGAGCCCAGGAAGCCUGGUUGUAGCAGAUUCAGGGGAGAGUGGGAGGAGAUGACCUCCAGCCCUGUCACUUGCUAACUGUAUGCGCCUCGGGCGUAUUCCCAGUUGUACAUUCCCCAGUUUCCUUAGCUACGAAAUACCAGCCAUCACGAUGGACAUUGCAUGGGCUCCGUGUGACCGGUGAGUGAGGUCAUCCCUACGCAAGGACCAGCGCGAUGCCAGGCAUAUGGUUGCCACUCAUGACCAAGUGGACUUGCAUGGUGUGCAUCUGUUUGGUAAAAACUAAAGCUUUUUAAAAAAAA
rnacentral:lncRNA from 1 species